rnacentral:rRNA from 1 species
AACGAACGCUGGCGGCAGGCCUAAAACAUGCAAGUCGAACGCCCUAGCAAUAGGGAGUGGCGCACGGGUGAGUAACGCGUGGGAACGUGCCCUUCAGUACGGAACAACGUCGGGAAACUGACGCUAAUACCGUAUAAUAUCCCCGGAUCAAAGAUUUAUCGCUGAAGGAUCGGCCCGCGUCUGAUUAGCUAGUUGGUGAGGUAAUGGCUCACCAAGGCUACGAGCAGUAGCUGGUCUGAGAGGAUGAUCAGCCACACUGGGACGGAGACACGGCCCAGACUCCUACGGGAGGCAGCAGUUAGGAAUAUUGGACAAUGGGCGAAAGCCUGAUCCAGCCAUGCCGCGUGUGUGAUGAAGGCCUUAGGGUUGUAAAGCACUUUCGUUGGGGAUGAUAAUGACCGUACCCAAAGAAGAAGCCACGGCUAAAUUCGUGCCAGCAGCCGCGGUAA